UACGUAGGGGGCUAGCGUUGUCCGGAUUUAUUGGGCGUAAAGAGCGUGUAGGCGGCCAGGUAGGUCUGGUGUGAAAACUCGAGGCUUAACCUUGAGAUGUCAUCGGAAACCAUUUGGCUAGAGUCCGGAAGAGGAAAGUGGAAUUCCUGGUGUAGCGGUGAAAUGCGCAGAUAUCAGGAAGAACACCGGUGGCGAAGGCGGAUCUCUGGGCCUUGCCUGACGCUGAGGCGCGAAAGCUAGGGGAGCGAACAGG
rnacentral:rRNA from 1 species